UACGUAGGGUGCAAGCGUUGUCCGGAAUUAUUGGCGUAAAGAGCUCGUAGGCGGUCUGUCGCGUCUGCUGUGAAAACUCAGGGCUUAACCCUGAGCUUGCAGUGGGUACGGGCAGACUAGAGUGCGGUAGGGGAGACUGGAAUUCCUGGUGUAGCGGUGAAAUGCGCAGAUAGUCAGGAGGAACACCGGUGGCGAAAGGCGGGUCUCUGGGCCGAAAC
rnacentral:rRNA from 1 species